CCCACUUCCGUCAUAGUCGUAGGACUUUUACCAUUUUUCAGAUAAUUGACGUGCUCCGUGUGUGCUCUGUGUGCUUCGACAUAUUUUGCGGUCCUCUCAUUCUUCUUGUCUACUCCGCCAUGCGCCGCCUGCUCUGGAAUCAGUAGUUCGGUUGGUGAUAAUGUUGAAAGGAGUGAUUCACUUUGUUUAAUAAGAUAGUGCUACUGUUAUGACUAAAGAAGAAGCUGCAAAGCUACUAAAGACCUACUUUAGCAGAGGCAUAGUGGAUGCAUCAAUUGAUGUCAUUGAGCCAUUGACUUUGUGAAAAGAAAAGAAGGUCUCUAGGAAUCAUUGGAAGAUGGAACACUAUCAUUCUUGAAUAUAGCAUCACAUCAACCAUAUUAAGGAGUGCAUGUGCCAAGUAUCUUGGUUUUGCAAUAGGAGUGCAUGAGUUGGACAACAGAACUCCAUGAAUUCUUUGUGGAAGGAGUCAACCAACUUGGCGGUAAUGAAAGAGCUAUACUAAAAGGAGUUUUGAAGCUCAUUAAUAUUGAAAGUUUUACAAUUUAUCAUGUGAAAAGUCAUCUGCAGAUUGCAGAUUCUAAGAUGCUUAAUGCAUUGUUCAACAAAAGUAUGAGAAUGCUCAACAAAAAUACGAGGAUGCUCAACAAAAGAAUGUGAAGAUUCAACAGAAAAAUGUGGAUGUUCAAGCAAAUUUUGAAUAACAACUUGCACGAACAAUGAAUAAUGACUGUAAUUAAUACUUUGAGCUAACUGGUCAAAACCUUUAUUAAUCAAUGAUAAAAUAUUAUGUAUCGAACAACGUUUUAUGUUUAAUUUGUAGUGACUUUUGAUUUUGUUGUAUGUA